AGGCAGCAGUAGGGAAUAUUGCACAAUGGGCGCAAGCCUGAUGCAGCGACGCCGCGUGAGGGAUGACGGCCUUCGGGUUGUAAACCUCUUUCAGCAGGGAAGAAGCGCAAGUGACGGUACCUGCAGAAGAAGCGCCGGCUAACUACGUGCCAGCAGCCGCGGUAAUACGUAGGGCGCAAGCGUUGUCCGGAAUUAUUGGGCGUAAAGAGCUCGUAGGCGGUUUGUCGCGUUGUUCGUGAAAACUCACAGCUUAACUGUGGGCGUGCGGGCGAUACGGGCAGACUGGAGUACUGCAGGGGAGACUGGAAUUCCUGGUGUAGCGGUGGAAUGCGCAGAUAUCAGGAGGAACACCGGUGGCGAAGGCCGGGUCUCUGGGCCGUAACUGACGCUGAGGAGCGAAAGCAUGGGGAGCGAACAGGAUUAGAUACCCCGGUAG
rnacentral:rRNA from 1 species